UACGUAGGUGGCAAGCGUUAUCCGGAUUCACUGGGUUUAAAGGGUGCGUAGGCGGACAGGUAAGUCAGUGGUGAAAUCUCUGGGCUUAACUCAGAAACUGCCGUUGAUACUAUCUGUCUUGAAUAUCCUGGAGGUAAGCGGAAUAUGUCAUGUAGCGGUGAAAUGCUUAGAUAUGACAUAGAACACCGAUAGCGAAGGCAGCUUACUACAGGAUGAUUGACGCUGAGGCACGAAAGCGUGGGGAGCAAACAGG
rnacentral:rRNA from 1 species